GCGCACCAGGCGAGAAACUUUACAAUGUGCGAAAGCACGAUAAGGGAACUCUGAGUGCCUCCUAAGGAGGCUGUUCAGGUGUCUAAAAGCACCUGAAGGAAGGGCUGGGUAAGACCGGUGCCAGCCGCCGCGGUAACACCGGCAGCCCAAGUGGUAGCCACGUUUAUUGGGUCUAAAGCGUCCGUAGCCGGCUGGGUAAGUUCCUUGGGAAAUUUGGCUGCUUAACAGUCAAGCUUUCAGGGAAUACUGCCCGGCUUGGGACCGGGAGAGGUCAGAGGUACUCCAGGGGUAGGGUGAAAUCCAUUAAUCCUUGGGGGACCACCGGUAGCGAAGGCGUCUGACCAGACCGGGUCCGACGGUGAGGGACGAAGGCUAGGGGCGCGAACCGGAUUAGAUACCCGGGUAGU
rnacentral:rRNA from 1 species